rnacentral:misc_RNA from 1 species
AUAUUAUAUAUCAAACCCUCUUUUGUUGAGUGGGUUUGGAUGUGGGGUUGCUGGCCUCUUUCGAAGGGGUCAGCUUCUCUGAAAUGCAUUAGCAGAACAACCUGUUUGUUCAUUGGUGUGAUAACUAUCUACGCUAUUGAACCAUGAAGGCAGUUCAGCUUCCUAACCGUCUUUGGACAACUUAUCAAUCUAU